ensembl:Y_RNA Y_RNA Y RNA
GGCUGGUUUGAGUGCGGUGGUGUUUACAACUAAUUGAUAAGCAGUUACAGAUUUCUGUGUUCCUUCACCCCCACUGCUUCACUUGACUAGCCUUAA